rnacentral:rRNA from 1 species
GACGAACGCUGGCGGCGUGCUUAACACAUGCAAGUCGAAUGAAGUGGCGAACGGGUGUGUAACGCGUAAUCAACCUGCCCUUCAGAGGGGGACAACAGUUGGAAACGACUGCUAAUAUCGCAUACUGAAGGAGGGGAUUGCGUCUGAUUAGCUAGUUGGAGGGGUAAAGGCCCACCAAGGCGAUGAUCAGUAGCCGGUCUGAGCGGAUGAGCGGCCGCGGUGGGACUGAUACACGGCCAAGACUCCUACGGGAGGCAGCAGUGGGGAAUCUUCCGCGAUGGACGACAGUCUGACGGAGCAACGCCGCGUGAGUGAUGACGGCCUUCGGGUUGUAAAGCUCUGUUAAUCGGGACGCGGUACCGGAAUAGAGAGCCACGGCUAACUACGUGCCAGCAGCCGCGGUAAUUC